UGGGGAAUAUUGCACAAUGGGCGAAAGCCUGAUGCAGCAACGCCGCGUGAGCGAAGAAGGCCUUUGGGUCGUAAAGCUCUGUCCGGGGGGAAGAUAAUGACGGUACCCCUGGAGGAAGCCCCGGCUAACUACGUGCCAGCAGCCGCGGUACUACGUAGGGGGCAAGCGUUAUCCGGAAUUAUUGGGCGUAAAGGGUGCGUAGGUGGUUCUUUAAGCGUGAGGUGAAAGGCAAUGGCUUAACUAUUGUAAGCCUUGCGAACUGGAGAACUUGAGUGCAGGAGAGGUAAGUGGAAUUCCUAGUGUAGCGGUGAAAUGCGUAGAUAUUAGGAGGAACACCAGUGGCGAAGGCGACUUACUGGACUGUAACUGACACUGAGGCACGAAAGCGUGGGGAGCAAACA
rnacentral:rRNA from 1 species